UACGGGAGGCAGCAGUGGGGAAUAUUGCACAAUGGGCGAAAGCCUGAUGCAGCUAUGCCGCGUGUAUGAAGAAGGCCUUAGGGUUGUAAAGUACUUUCAUCGGGGAGGAAAAACAAAACUAAUAAUUUUAUUUCUUGACGUUACCCGAAAAAGAAGCACCGGCUAACUCCGUGCCAGCAGCCGCGGUAAUACGGAGGGUGCUAGCGUUAAUCAGAAUUACUGGGCGUAAAGAGCACGUAGGUGGUUUUUUUAAGUCAGAUGUGAAAUCCCUGGGCUUAACCUAGGAACUGCAUUUUGAAACUGAAAUACUAGAGUAUCGUAGAGGGAGGUAGAAUUCUAGGUGUAGCGGUGAAAUGCGUAGAUAUCUGGAGGAAUACCUGUGGCGAAAGCGGCCUCCUAAACGAAUACUGACACUGAGGUGCGAAAGCGUGGGGA
rnacentral:rRNA from 1 species